GCGGUCGUAGUCUAGCCUGGUUAGGACACAGGCCUUCCAAGCCUGCUACCCGGGUUCAAUUCCCGGCGACCGCACCA
rnacentral:tRNA from 1 species